GCAGUCGAGCGCGAAUAGGGGCAACCCUUAGUAGAGCGGCGCACGGGUGCGUAACACGUGGAUAAUCUGCCUGGAUGCCCGGGAUAACCAGUCGAAAGAUUGGCUAAUACCGGAUAAGCCCACGGGCUCUUCGGAGCCUGAGGGAAAAGGUGGCCUCUGUAUACAAGCUAUCACAACCAGAUGAGUCCGCGGCCCAUCAGCUAGUUGGCGGGGUAAUGGCCCACCAAGGCGACGACGGGUAGCUGGUCUGAGAGGACGAUCAGCCACACUGGAACUGAGACACGGUCCAGACUCCUACGGGAGGCAGCAGUGGGGAAUUUUGCGCAAUGGGCGAAAGCCUGACGCAGCAACGCCGCGUGUGUGAUGAAGGUCUUCGGAUUGUAAAGCACUUUCGACCGGGACGAAAACCCGUUGGCUAACACUCAACGGCUUGACGGUACCGGGAGAAGAAGCACCGGCUAACUCUGUGCCAGCAGCCGCGGUAAUACAGAGGGUGCAAGCGUUGUUCGGAAUUAUUGGGCGUAAAGCGCGUGUAGGCGGCGUGACAAGUCGGGUGUGAAAGCCCUCAGCUCAACUGAGGAAGUGCGCCCGAAACUGUCGUGCUUGAGUGCCGGAGAGGGUGGCGGAAUUCCCCAAGUAGAGGUGAAAUUCG
rnacentral:rRNA from 1 species